CUGGCGGCGUGCUUAACACAUGCAAGUCGAACGAGAAUCAUAUGACGGAGUUUACGGACAACUGAUUAUGAGGAAGGUGGCGGACGGGUGAGUAACGCGUGAGGAACCUGCCUCGGAGUGGGGGAUAACACAUCGAAAGGUGUGCUAAUGCCGCAUAAUGUAUAUCAUUCGCAUGGGAGAUAUACCAAAGAUUUAUUGCUCUGAGAUGGCCUCGCGUCUGAUUAGCUAGUUGGUGAGGUAACGGCCCACCAAGGCGACGAUCAGUAACCGGACUGAGAGGUUGAACGGCCACAUUGGGACUGAGACACGGCCCAGACUCCUACGGGAGGCAGCAGUGGGGAAUAUUGCGCAAUGGGGGGAAAAACCCCUGACGCAGCAACGCCGCGUGAAGGAUGAAGGUUUUCGGAUUGUAAACUUCUUUGACGAGGGACGAACAAAAUGACGGUACCUCGAAAACAAGCUCCGGCUAACUACGUGCCAGCCGCGGC
rnacentral:rRNA from 1 species